rnacentral:rRNA from 1 species
UGGCGGACGGGUGAGUAACGCGUGAGGAACCUGCCUUGAAGAGGGGGACAACAGUUGGAAACGACUGCUAAUACCGCAUGACGCAUAGAGGUCGCAUGAUCUUUAUGCCAAAGAUUUAUCGCUUCAAGAUGGCCUCGCGUCUGAUUAGCUAGUUGGCGGGGUAACGGCCCACCAAGGCGACGAUCAGUAGCCGGACUGAGAGGUUGAACGGCCACAUUGGGACUGAGAUACGGCCCAGACUCCUACGGGAGGCAGCAGUGGGGAAUAUUGGGCAAUGGGCGCAAGCCUGACCCAGCAACGCCGCGUGAAGGAAGAAGGCUUUCGGGUUGUAAACUUCUUUUAAGAGGGAAGAGCAGAAGACGGUACCUCUAGAAUAAGCCACGGCUAACUACGUGCCAGCAGCCGCGGUAAUACGUAGGUGGCAAGCGUUGUCCGGAUUUACUGGGUGUAAAGGGCGUGCAGCCGGGUCUGCAAGUCAGAUGUGAAAUCCAUGGGCUCAACCCAUGAACUGCAUUUGAAACUGUAGAUCUUGAGUGUCGGAGGGGCAAUCGGAAUUCCUAGUGUAGCGGUGAAAUGCGUAGAUAUUAGGAGGAACACCAGUGG